UGGGGAAUAUUGGACAAUGGGCGCAAGCCUGAUCCAGCCAUGCCGCGUGAGUGAUGAAGGCCCUAGGGUUUUAAAGCUCUUUCACCGGUGAAGAUAAUGACGGUAACCGUAGAAGAAGCCCCGCCUAACUUCGUGCCAGCAGCCGCGUUAAUACGAAGGGGGCUAGCGUUGUUCGGAUUUACUGGGCGUAAAGCGCACGUAGGCGGACUUUUAAGUAAGGGGUGAAAUCCCGGGGCUCAACCCCGGAACUGCCUUUGAUACUGGAAGUCUUGAGUAUGGUAGAGGUGAGUGGAAUUCCGAGUGUAGAGGUGACAUUCGUAGAUAUUCGGAGGAACACCAGUGGCGAAGGCGUCUCACUGGACCAUUACUGACGCUGAGGUGCGAAAGCGUGGGGAGCAAACAGG
rnacentral:rRNA from 1 species